rnacentral:tRNA from 1 species
UAGCUCAGCAGACAGAGCACAGGACUUGCAUACCUGAUGCCGCAGGUUCAAUUUCCUGU